UACAGAGGGGGCGAGCGUUGUUCGGAAUUACUGGGCGUAAAGGGCGCGUAGGCGGCCUGCUAAGUCGAACGUGAAAUCCCCGGGCUCAACCCGGGAACUGCGUCCGAUACUGGAAGGCUUGAAUCCGGGAGAGGGAUGUGGAAUUCCAGGUGUAGCGGUGAAAUGCGUAGAUAUCUGGAGGAACACCGGUGGCGAAGGCGACAUCCUGGACCGGUAUUGACGCUGAGGCGCGAAAGCCAGGGGAGCAAACAGG
rnacentral:rRNA from 1 species